CCUACGGGAGGCAGCAGUAGGGAAUAUUGCUCAAUGGGGGAAACCCUGAAGCAGCAACGCCGCGUGGAGGAUGAAGGUUUUCGGAUUGUAAACUCCUUUUGUUAGAGAAGAUAAUGACGGUAUCUAACGAAUAAGCACCGGCUAACUCCGUGCCAGCAGCCGCGGUAAUACGGAGGGUGCAAGCGUUACUCGGAAUCACUGGGCGUAAAGAGCGCGUAGGCGGGAUAGCAAGUCAGAUGUGAAAUCCUAUGGCUUAACCAUAGAACUGCAUUUGAAACUGUUAUUCUAGAGUAUGGGAGAGGUAGGUGGAAUUCUUGGUGUAGGGGUAAAAUGCGUAGAGAUCAAGAGGAAUACUCAUUGCGAAGGCGACCUGCUAGAACAUAACUGACGCUGAGGCGCGAAAGCGUGGGGAGCAAACAGGAUUAGAUACCCCGGUAGUC
rnacentral:rRNA from 1 species